rnacentral:rRNA from 1 species
UACGUAGGUGGCAAGCGUUGUUCGGAAUUAUUGGGCGUAAAGGGCGCGUAGGCGGCUUGUUAAGUCGGUUGUGAAAGCCCGGGGCUCAACCCCGGAGAGUCGACCGAUACUGGCGAGCUAGAGUACGGAAGAGGUAGCUGGAAUUCCCGGUGUAGCGGUGAAAUGCGCAGAUAUCAGGAGGAACACCGGUGGCGAAGGCGGGUCUCUGGGCCGAAAUUGACGCUGAGGAGCGAAAGCGUGGGGAGCGAACAGG